UCUGCUUGGUGACCUUGGGCGA
rnacentral:miRNA from 1 species